rnacentral:lncRNA from 1 species
GAGUCAAAUGAAUGAAACAUUGUUUGAAAGGCCAUAGUGUAUUAGUUGUGGUUCUGAAUGUCAAGGUGGAGGUAGAGUAAAUAACAAGAUAAAGCUUGUAGCAAACCAUCACUACGUUUACUUGCCUCCAAUGAAGUGAAGACUGCUCUACGUACGAUCCAAAGCAUUGCCAGCUGCUUAAUAGGUAUUAUAAGAGAGAACUCAUUUUAACAGAUACCAAGAGUAGGUAAAGCACUCAUAUUCUCUAGCCCGACAUACAAGCCAAACAGCCUGCAAAGUGCCAAGUCAAAUGCAGCACUGCUAGUUCACCUUUUUAUAUCUUUUAAUCCAUAAAGGAUAUUAUGGCAACCAAAAUCAUUUUCAGAACC